CCUUAAUCAUCUUAGUCACUUUGGAUUGAAACAGCUGUUUAAAUGACGGAAAAGGAUGUUCAUGUCCUUUAGAAAUGAUUCAGAUUCUUCAUCUCAACACAGCCGUGCUGCAGAUGUGUUGUUUGGUCAGCUGGUUCCCACGCUGCAGAACUUCAUGUGUCAAAGCGUAAGGGGAAGUCAUUUUUAUUUUUGUAUCUCGCUGUCAGCGAUAGUCAGAUUAUUAACACUCAUGCCUUUGGCCCCCUUGAGUUAUAAUGCUACGUUGUGUAGCAUUAUAACCACGGAACGCCCCUCUACUAAUAUUGAGCUAGAUGGUUUUAAUGCUAUUUCUUAUUCAACCAAAUAGUUUAAGUUUUGUUUUUUAAACUCACAGUGGUUGUGGUGUCCUUUGGCCUCUUGUUUCCUGUCAAGAAAAUGCCACAGUGAACGUUUCCAUGGUGAUAUAAACGGUGUGUAGACAGAUGUAGACGUGACAACACGGUGGUGUCAAUGGUCUCCUCUUACCUCUCCUUCUGAGCCAGCGAAUGAGGAGAACCAGGCCCACGAUCAACAGGACCGCUGUACCCAGCGCUACCCCUGCUGCUAACCCUGGGUCUAUAGGUCCACCUGAACACAGGGAGAGGUUACCUUCCUCUGGUUCAGUCGGCAGUAUCUCAGAUGAAUUAAGAAGCUACAUGGGUGGACCCAUGUUGGAAACCAUAGAAAAGACUAAAGGUUAAAGGUUAAAGGUUUUACUAUGUAAAAU
ensembl:lncRNA